rnacentral:rRNA from 1 species
UUAAGCGACUAAGCGUACACGGUGGAUGCCCUGGCAGUCAGAGGCGAUGAAGGACGUGCUAAUCUGCGAUAAGCGUCGGUAAGGUGAUAUGAACCGUUAUAACCGGCGAUUUCCGAAUGGGGAAACCCAGUGUGAUUCGUCACACUAUCAUUAACUGAAUCCAUAGGUUAAUGAGGCGAACCGGGGGAACUGAAACAUCUAAGUACCCCGAGGAAAAGAAAUCAACCGAGAUUCCCCCAGUAGCGGCGAGCGAACGGGGAGCAGCCCAGAGCCUGAAUCAGUGUGUGUGUUAGUGGAAGCGUCUGGAAAGGCGCGCGAUACAGGGUGACAGCCCCGUACACAAAAAUGCACAUGCUGUGAGCUCGAUGAGUAGGGCGGGACACGUGGUAUCCUGUCUGAAUAUGGGGGGACCAUCCUCCAAGGCUAAAUACUCCUGACUGACCGAUAGUGAACCAGUACCGUGAGGGAAAGGCGAAAAGAACCCCGGCGAGGGGAGUGAAAAAGAACCUGAAACCGUGUACGUACAAGCAGUGGGAGCACGCUUAGGCGUGUGACUGCGUACCUUUUGUAUAAUGGGUCAGCGACUUAUAUUCUGUAGCAAGGUUAACCGAAUAGGGGAGCCGAAGGGAAACCGAGUCUUAACUGGGCGUUAAGUUGCAGGGUAUAGACCCGAAACCCGGUGAUCUAGCCAUGGGCAGGUUGAAGGUUGGGUAACACUAACUGGAGGACCGAACCGACUAAUGUUGAAAAAUUAGCGGAUGACUUGUGGCUGGGGGUGAAAGGCCAAUCAAACCGGGAGAUAGCUGGUUCUCCCCGAAAGCUAUUUAGGUAGCGCCUCGUGAAUUCAUCUCCGGGGGUAGAGCACUGUUUCGGCAAGGGGGUCAUCCCGACUUACCAACCCGAUGCAAACUGCGAAUACCGGAGAAUGUUAUCACGGGAGACACACGGCGGGUGCUAACGUCCGUCGUGAAGAGGGAAACAACCCAGACCGCCAGCUAAGGUCCCAAAGUCAUGGUUAAGUGGGAAACGAUGUGGGAAGGCCCAGACAGCCAGGAUGUUGGCUUAGAAGCAGCCAUCAUUUAAAGAAAGCGUAAUAGCUCACUGGUCGAGUCGGCCUGCGCGGAAGAUGUAACGGGGCUAAACCAUGCACCGAAGCUGCGGCAGCGACGCUGAUGCGUUGUUGGGUAGGGGAGCGUUCUGUAAGCCUGUGAAGGUGUGCUGUGAGGCAUGCUGGAGGUAUCAGAAGUGCGAAUGCUGACAUAAGUAACGAUAAAGCGGGUGAAAAGCCCGCUCGCCGGAAGACCAAGGGUUCCUGUCCAACGUUAAUCGGGGCAGGGUGAGUCGACCCCUAAGGCGAGGCCGAAAGGCGUAGUCGAUGGGAAACAGGUUAAUAUUCCUGUACUUGGUGUUACUGCGAAGGGGGGACGGAGAAGGCUAUGUUGGCCGGGCGACGGUUGUCCCGGUUUAAGCGUGUAGGCUGGUUUUCCAGGCAAAUCCGGAAAAUCAAGGCUGAGGCGUGAUGACGAAGCACUACGGUGCUGAAGCAACAAAUGCCCUGCUUCCAGGAAAAGCCUCUAAGCAUCAGGUAACAUCAAAUCGUACCCCAAACCGACACAGGUGGUCAGGUAGAGAAUACCAAGGCGCUUGAGAGAACUCGGGUGAAGGAACUAGGCAAAAUGGUGCCGUAACUUCGGGAGAAGGCACGCUGAUAUGUAGGUGAAGUCCCUUGCGGAUGGAGCUGAAAUCAGUCGAAGAUACCAGCUGGCUGCAACUGUUUAUUAAAAACACAGCACUGUGCAAACACGAAAGUGGACGUAUACGGUGUGACGCCUGCCCGGUGCCGGAAGGUUAAUUGAUGGGGUCAGCGCAAGCGAAGCUCUUGAUCGAAGCCCCGGUAAACGGCGGCCGUAACUAUAACGGUCCUAAGGUAGCGAAAUUCCUUGUCGGGUAAGUUCCGACCUGCACGAAUGGCGUAAUGAUGGCCAGGCUGUCUCCACCCGAGACUCAGUGAAAUUGAACUCGCUGUGAAGAUGCAGUGUACCCGCGGCAAGACGGAAAGACCCCGUGAACCUUUACUAUAGCUUGACACUGAACAUUGAGCCUUGAUGUGUAGGAUAGGUGGGAGGCUUUGAAGUGUGGACGCCAGUCUGCAUGGAGCCGGCCUUGAAAUACCACCCUUUAAUGUUUGAUGUUCUAACGUUGACCCGUAAUCCGGGUUGCGGACAGUGUCUGGUGGGUAGUUUGACUGGGGCGGUCUCCUCCUAAAGAGUAACGGAGGAGCACGAAGGUUGGCUAAUCCUGGUCGGACAUCAGGAGGUUAGUGCAAUGGCAUAAGCCAGCUUGACUGCGAGCGUGACGGCGCGAGCAGGUGCGAAAGCAGGUCAUAGUGAUCCGGUGGUUCUGAAUGGAAGGGCCAUCGCUCAACGGAUAAAAGGUACUCCGGGGAUAACAGGCUGAUACCGCCCAAGAGUUCAUAUCGACGGCGGUGUUUGGCACCUCGAUGUCGGCUCAUCACAUCCUGGGGCUGAAGUAGGUCCCAAGGGUAUGGCUGUUCGCCAUUUAAAGUGGUACGCGAGCUGGGUUUAGAACGUCGUGAGACAGUUCGGUCCCUAUCUGCCGUGGGCGCUGGAGAACUGAGGGGGGCUGCUCCUAGUACGAGAGGACCGGAGUGGACGCAUCACUGGUGUUCGGGUUGUCAUGCCAAUGGCACUGCCCGGUAGCUAAAUGCGGAAGAGAUAAGUGCUGAAAGCAUCUAAGCACGAAACUUGCCCCGAGAUGAGUUCUCCCUGACUCCUUGAGAGUCCUGAAGGAACGUUGAAGACGACGACGUUGAUAGGCCGGGUGUGUAAGCGCAGCGAUGCGUUGAGCUAACCGGUACUAAUGAACCGUGAGGCUUAACCUU